UACGUAGGGUGCGAGCGUUAAUCGGAAUUACUGGGCGUAAAGUGUGCGCAGGCGGCCGCGCAAGUCGCGUGUGAAAGCCCCGAGCUUAACUUGGGAACUGCGCUCGAAACUACGUGGCUGGAGUGUGGCAGAGGAAGGUGGAAUUCCAGGUGUAGCGGUGAAAUGCGUAGAGAUCUGGAGGAACACCGAUGGCGAAGGCAGCCUUCUGGGCCAACACUGACGCUCAUGCACGAAAGCGUGGGGAGCAAACAGG
rnacentral:rRNA from 1 species